UUGGUUGGCGGGAAAAGAAAGAAACCAAUUUAAUCCAAGAUGCGCCUCACUGUAGACCGCAUGCUUCCUCCUUUUAUUUUCACCGUUUUCCUUUUUUUCUCAAUGGUGAAGAGGAUCGUUUGUUCAACCCAAAUUAUCCAUGGAUAACUUCUCAUACGCUUCAAAACAAUGUAGAUCAUCAAGGUGAAGAAUGCCCUGCGAUUUCAACGUCUGCCCAUGACGCCCAAACAUGAGCAGCGUGAAAAGAUCAGAAGAAUCGACCAUGCUGUGCUCUCUUUCUAUCUGUCCCUACUGGUUGAUGGGUAGCGGCGACACAGGGAGGGAGAUCAGAAGAAGAGGGUCCAGGGAACGUCAGCCAUAUAUGUAAGGAAGGAAGGUUUGCAGGGAUUUCAAAUUUAUUCUUUCUUCUUCUGAUCUGGGAGAUGAUGCCAAGCACUACAUGAUCGGGUUUCCAUUGCUGUGAGCUAGAGCCGGUCGUCUCACAUGGACAUUUUGGUCUAUCCCAACUUGGGUUCCAUGAACAUACAGCUUUUUUAUCUUUAUAGUUCCGUGAACGAGCAGUACGAGAGGCAGAACAAGGGAGAGAAAGUUUCUUAGAAAUGCAUUUCCAUUCUUGGGGGUUCCACUCUGCAUUCUAUCAAUUCAUAGACAAACAACUUCUUUCAUUCCGA